rnacentral:rRNA from 1 species
UGAGGAAUAUUGGUCAAUGGACGAGAGUCUGAACCAGCCAAGUAGCGUGCAGGAUGACGGCCCUAUGGGUUGUAAACUGCUUUUGUUUGGGAAUAAUCGACAUUACGUGUAAUGUUUUGCAUGUACCAUUCGAAUAAGGACCGGCUAAUUCCGUGCCAGCAGCCGCGGUAAUACGGAAGGUCCAGGCGUUAUCCGGAUUUAUUGGGUUUAAAGGGAGUGUAGGCCGUUUGGUAAGCGUGUUGUGAAAUGUAGGAGCUCAACUUCUAGAUUGCAGCGCGAACUGUCAGACUUGAGUGCGCACAACGUAGGCGGAAUUCAUGGUGUAGCGGUGAAAUGCUUAGAUAUCAUGAAGAACUCCGAUUGCGAAGGCAGCUUACGGGAGCGCAACUGACGCUGAAGCUCGAAGGUGCGGGUAUCGAACAGG